GCAUAUCAAUAAGCGGAGGAAAAGAAACUAACAAGGAUUCCCCUAGUAACGGCGAGUGAAGAGGGAAAAGCUCAAAUUUUAAAUCUACCUGGUUCCCAGGUCGAAUUGUAAUUUGAAGAAGCGAUAUCGGUUUUGAGGUCUGGUUUAAGUUCUUUGGAACAAGACAUCAUGGAGGGUGAGAAUCCCGUGCAUGAUCAGACCAAGAUACCCAAUAUUCGUUUUCUAAGAGUCGAGUUGUUUGGGAAUGCAGCUCAAAAUGGGUGGUAGACUUCACCUAAGGCUAAAUAUCAGCGAGAGACCGAUAGCGAACAAGUACUGUGAAGGAAAGAUGAAAAGAACUUUGAAAAGAGAGUUAAAUAGUACGUGAAAUUGUUGAAAGGGAAACGAUUGAAGUCAGUCAUGCUAGUGAAAAAUCAGUUUGGCGGGUUUUGAGUUCUUGAGUAGAGGCAGGGUCAAACCGUUUCUCUUUUGGACUUGAGAUUUGUUAGAUGUACUUUUUCUUUGGCAGGUCAACGUCGGUUUCGGGGGUUGUAAAAUAUUUGGGGGAAAGUAGCUCUGCUUCGGGAGAGUGUUAUAGACCCUGAGAGAUGCAGCCUGUGGGAUCGAGGAUUGCAGCAAAUGCCUUUUGGCUUGUCGCCUGUUCCUAGGUGUUACCUGUCUUGUGACAACAUUCUUGCCACCGGGGAGUACUAAUGCCUACUGUUUAGAGCGAUCGAAAAUUUUGCUAAGGAUGUUGACGUAAUGGCUUUAAACGAC
rnacentral:rRNA from 1 species